rnacentral:misc_RNA from 1 species
GAUGAAGAACGUAGCGAAAUGCGAUAAGUAAUGUGAAUUGCAGAAUUCAGUGAAUCAUCGAGUCUUUGAACGCACAUUGCGCCCCCUGGUAUUCCGGGGGGCAUGCCUGUCCGAGCGUCAUUGCUGCCCUCAAGCACGGCUUGUGUGUUGGGCCCCCGCCCCCCGGCUUCGGGGGGCGGGCCCGAAAGGCAGCGGCGGCACCGCGUCCGGUCCUCGAGCGUAUGGGGCUUCGUCACCCGCUCUGUAGGCCCGGCCGGCGCCCGCCGGCGACCCCAAUCAAUCUUUCCAGGUUGACCUCGGAUCAGGUAGGGAUACCCGCUGAACUUAAGCAUAUCAAUAAGCGAAGGA